AAUUGAUUUCUAUCCGCUGCGUAUUAUGCAAGUGUUUACUCUGUUUUAAUAAAAGAGCAUGACAGUUAUUAUGGUGAAUGGUGUGAAAUGAUUGUGUGACACCCUUAAUUGCAUAAUUACUCUGAUUGAUAUAUUGCUAUUUUAAUUAAUUAUUUGGGGUAUUUUAGAAGGGUGUUACAGUGUCUGCUUAAUUCGCAAUAGUUUUUAAUCCGUUUGCUUAAUUCGGAAUUUGGGAAUAUUACUCGCAUAAUUUCCUUUACGCUUGUUAAUGGUAAUUGUAAUCGAAUAGAAGCAGACCCGUUAGGGAUUUGGAAUUUUAUAAGAAUCAAUGAUAAGUCGGAAGAUGAUGCAGUAGGUUGGUUCGUUUCAGCUUAUUCAAAUAAUCACUUUUCAUAAUCACUUAUUUUCUGCAUUUUUGUAAUUGAACACCAAGCCAACCCCCCCCCAUUCGAUUAUGUUUAAUUAUUACAAACAAGAAUCCUUGAGACGAUAUCCGAGUUUAAUUGUCGUUGUAUUAUGUUUUUACAAAAUUACUCGUUUUGAUCUGCGUGCGACAACGGAUCAAAUUGGCGUCGUUGCCGGGGAUUCUUGUAGAUUUUAACCAUUAUUAUAGUUUAACUAUUAUUAUAGUCAUAGGUGUUGUGUUUUAACAUAUAUUUUUUUACCCUAAUUUUCUUGUGUUUUUGUGUUUUAGGGAAAAAAAUCUGUUUUUUUUAAGAAAAUUGUUUCAAAUUAUUCCGAUUAUUUGUCGAUUAACUAGGAAAAAAUCAAGGAUCAAAAGCCUCUAUUUAGAAACUAAAUAGUGGAAGUCAUCCUAAAAACCCGAAAUUCCUUAUUUUUCUAUUUUUUAUGAUUUUUUUUCUGUUUUGAUAGUUUUAGAAAAUUCUGAAAAAAUUCUCAAAAAUUUUAAUUGACGUCAUUAGAUUAAUUUCGGUGUUAGUUUAUUUUUCUAAAUUUAUUUUAAUUGUUUUCUUUCAUUGUGUUUGUUUUUGACUAUGAUUGACCAAAGAACUUUAAGGCAGUUAGUUGUCCCUUAUGUGAAUUAUAAUGGCAUGUGUAUUGAAUAUCCUGCUGCUGUUCCUUUUGAAUUAAAAUCGGGUUUAAUACACUUGUUGCCAAAGUUUAGUGGUCUUGCAGGUGAAGAUCCACACAAGCAUUUGAAAGAGUUCCAGGUGGUGUGUUCUACACCAUUGAAGCCUGAAGGGAUCACCGAAGAUCAAAUCAAACUUCGAGCUUUUCCUUUUUCAUUGCAGGGUGCAGCAAAGGAUUGGAUUUAUUAUCUUGAGCCAAACUCAAUUGCAAGUUGGACAACCCUGAAAAAAGUGUUCUUGGAAAGAUAUUUUCCUGCCUCCAGAGAUGCCUCAAUAAGAAAGGAGAUUUGUGGUAUUAGACAAGGCAAUGAGUCGCUGACCGAGUAUUGGGAGAGAUUCAAGCACUUGGUAUCUAGCUUCCCUCAACACCAGAUCAUUGAGCAACUCCUCAUCCAAUACUUUUAUGAGGGGUUGUUACCGAUGGACAGGAACAUUCUUGAUGCUGCUAGUGGUGGAGCAUUAGUCGAUAAAACUCCAGCUGCUGCCAAAGCCCUUUAUUGAAAAUAUGUCUCUUAAUUCUCAACAGUUCACCACUAGAGACAAUUCUGUGCAAAGCAAAGGCGUGAGUCAAAUUUAAGUUUAUUCCAACAGAGCUUUAGAGACUAGAAUUGACGAACUCACUGCCUUAGUCAAACAGCUGGCGGUAGCAAAACCUCAAACAGCAACUUUGUGUGGCAUUUGUACUUCUCCUGAGCACCCGACCGAUACUUGUCCUAUUCUGAGAGACGAGUCAAUUACUGAGCUGCCACAAGCUCAUGCAGCCAACCUUUACAAUCAAAAUAGGUACAACAACACUCCUGACUUGUCCACCAACAAAUACCAUCCCAAUUGGAGGAACCAUCCCAACCUUCGAUAUGGAAACCCGCAAACCAGCCAACAACAGAACUCACCUCAAGUGGCUGCCCCUGCACCUUCCGGACCAUCCUUGGAGAUUGUAUUUACCUUUAAUUGAGUUUACCACAACAAUAGUUUUCAUUCGAGCAUUGGUAUGCACCGUUGAGCUUUGUAUGGUAGGAGAUGUCGGACGCCUUAUGUUGGUAUGAGUCCGUGAGAGUGUUGUGGUUGGACCGGAGAUUGUUCAACAAACUACGGAAAAGAUUAAGAUGAUUCAGGAGAAGAUGAGAAUUGUUCAGAUCGUCAGAAGUUAUCACGACAAGAGGAGGAAGUCACUUGAGUUUCAAGAGGGAGAUCAUGUGUUUCUUCGUGUUACUCCGAUAACUGGAGUUGGUCGAGCUUUAAAGUCGAAGAAGUUACACCUCGAUUUAUUGGUCCUUAUCAGAUUUUGAGAGGAUAGGGAGGUAGCCUAUCGUAUCGCUUACCGCCGUCACUUGCGAAUUUGCAUGAAGUUUUUCAUGUGUCUCAGUUGAGAGAUACAUUCAUGAUCCGUCGCAUGUGGUCCAAGUAGAUGAUGUCCAGGUGAGAGAUAACCUGACUGUUGAACACACCUAUGAGGAUUGGAGUCGAGAGUUGAAGCAGUUCGGGGUAAAGAGAUUGCUUUGGUAAAGGUAGCUUGGGGAGGACCAGCAGGUGGUAAUGUAACUUGGGAACUUGAGAGUCAGAUGAAGGAGUCUUAUCCUGAGUUAUUCGCUUGAGGUAUGUUUCGAGGACGAAAACUCUUUUAGUGGGGGAGAGUGUAACACCCGCGAUAAAAACAAGAUAAUUAUUUAAUUUAAGUUAAUAAUAUAUCAUUAUUUAAUUAAAUAAUUGGAAUUUUAUUAUGGAUUUAUUUUAUUGGAAAUAAAAGUUGAAUUUAGAAAGGCCCAUUUAGUAAAAAGGUUUAUUUUUCACGUGAAAAGAAAAAGGGGCAGAAAAGUGGAAAAAAGGGCAAAGAGAACAGAGAACAAGGGUUGAGAGAGGAAGAGCUUGAAGCUGCAGGAUUGCCGGAUUAACUCAGGUAAGGGGUUAUCAUCGUUUAAUGGUAUUAUGGGAUAACAUGUAAUGGUAUGAUAAACCAUUAAUUUGACUCUGAUUAGAAUGAUGUAUGCUGAAAUUUGUGAAGUAUUGGAUGAACGAAUUUGGAUUAUGGUUGAAGAAAAUUCGUAAGGAUUAGAUGAAUAAUGUUAGAAUUUUGUGAAAUUGAAUAGGUAUGAUUGUGUUGGAUGAUAUGAACGAAUACUGUGAAAAUGGGACUGUGAGGUGGUUAGAUCUGAGAAAAUUCGUAGCAGAGAAAACCAUAGCAGAUCUGUGAAAUUGUUCUGGUCAUACGCGUAUGGCACUAGGCAAUACGCGUAUGAGAUGGCCUGGUACGCGUAUGGCACUAGGCAAUACGCGUAUGGAUGAGAAGAUGAUUUUUGAACGUGAUUUGUCUCGUUUGGUACGCGUAUGAGGAAGUGGUACGCGUACAUACGCGUAUGAGACAGGUGAUACGCGUAUGCGCGAUUGCGGAGGAAUGGGCCUACGCGUAUGGGACAGGCAAUACGCGUAUGGCAGGAUUGUGAUUUUCUGUGCUGUUGUUGUGCAGUUUUGGUUGUCAGCUGAGUUGUAUUUAGCUGAUGUAUGUAGAUGUAGGGACAUUCCCGUUGUUUGAGCAGUAUAGGUAUAGUAGAGUGUGUUAAUACUGUGAUUGAUUAUGUGCAUGACAUAAUAUGAUUAUGUGAUAAUAUGUUGAUGACGUAUGAUAUGCAUAAUGUGUGAUGUGUAUAUCAUGUAAUAAAUAUGAUGGACUGUUUAUGGCUUAGAGUGUGAGCAUAUGUCCAUUGUGGAUUUGUUGUGUUUGCAUGCUAAGUGAUUUAGCUUGCAUAUUGUGGCCUUUAUGGUGUAGCUAAUUCCCAUGGUGAGGAAUUAGUGAGUGAGUAUUAUGGAUGUUGUUGAUGUUGCAUGCUAGGUGAUUAGCGUGCAUAUAUAGCCCUUGGGUGGUAGCUAAUUCCCAUGGUGAGGAAUUAGUGAGUGAGUCACUAGGUCUCAAAUGAGUGGGACUAGUGAGCUUGGUAGCCGUAUCUGGAUUUGAUCGGUGAGGUUGAACUAUAUGUUCACGAAUGUCGGUACCGCAUGCAUGGAGUCUCAUUGCAUAAUGUAUGUAGUAUGGCGUAUAAUAUGAAUGGAUGUAUUCCAAUAUUAUACGUUUGUUUUGGUGAUUGUGUUGAGUAUGAUUUGGAGUUGAUAUUGCGUUACUGAUUGUGUGAUACUGAUUAGGUGAUUGAGAUGCGUUAAUUUACUUAACAUUCAGAUAUUUUUAUAAUGCUUAUUAUCGAUUGAGGAACUCACCCUUACAACUAUUUUUCAGGUAACGAGCAGUGAUUGAGUAGAAGCUAGUGCUUGGAGUCUAGUGUAGUUCCUUAGUGGGUCAUGCUCUGGUAGAUGUAACAUCGGGAUGGGAUGUUCUAAAUGUUUUAUUUUUGAUUGUGAACCAUUAUACAUGUAAUGUGUUACAUGUUUUGCAUGAUUGAAUUGGUCUCUAUCCGCUGCGUAUUAUGCAAGUGUUUACUCUGUUUUAAUAAAAAAGCAUGACAGUUAUUAUGGUGAAUGGUNAGGAUCUUGUUAAGCAAAUGGCCGUGAACAGCGCUGCAGGAGUUCAACAAGGACGCGAUGCUAGCAUCAGACCCUGAACCAAGCAGAUGUGGACAAGGCUUGCUGAGACUGCAAUAAAUAUACAUCAAGCUCAAGGUUGCGAUACCAACUUCGCAGCCCAGACAGGUUGGUCAUAUUCGAAUGUUAUGCAAUUGUGAGCGCAAUAUUCUUGAGAUCCGAAAAGUACAGAACCAGCCUCCCCUGAAAAAAAUAAAAAAUCAUGUGAGGUAAUUCUGACACUUCUCCUUCUGAGCUCUCACCCCAAGCUGAAACUUUCUUCUCCUUCUUCUAUUGUGGUCGAACACUGACCCGAAAAAUAAGAAAGAGUAUGGGCCACCAGUCCCUCCCACAUAGAGUUCUGAAAAAUAGAAGAAUGAGGAGGAGACAAAGAAAGAGAGAUACUGGAUGUUUUUCGCAAAAGGUCGUAAACAUGCCGCUACUUAAUGUUAAAGCAGGUUGGCAAAGUAUGCAAGCAAAAUUCUAAAAGACUUGUGCACAAGUAAGAAAGGUUGAAGGGCAAUGAGAGAGUAAAUUUGGAUGAAACAUUUCAUUCCGCUUAUCCAGCGCUAAACAUGUCACCUGAAAAAGCUGAUUGCUUGUCAGUCCCUCCAAUAGGUCAUACCCAAAAGUGCAAGGAAUCGCAGGAACUUUUUAUUCAAUGUACCAUGGAGAUAGUAAAUUCGACAAUUGCAUGCUUGAUUUGGGAGCAGGCAUUAAGUUGCUACUUAUGUUUUAAUUAACCUUGAUCAUUGGUCGCUUUACAGCAUACUAGGUUUAAUCAUUCACUAGCGGAACAGAAGUGAAAUGCUUGUGAAGAACAAAAAUUGUUCUACAUCAGAUCCAUGUAUUUUGAUGAUACCAAAGAUAAACAAAAAUGCACCAGCGAAAAGUUUCGAAGUGGACAGGGAUCUAAGAAGAGAAGGAAGAAUUGACAGAUACAUAAUCAUUCAGAUACAAAUUAUCAGAAGACAGUAACAUCAUGAAUAAGAUACGACAGUUCAAGAAAUCUAACGCUGAGCAACAGCAAAAUAUCAGAAGCAUCUGAACAGAAAGACGCUCUAGGAAAGAUUCUGACUUCUGAACAAUCGGUAUGUUCAAACUCCAGAAACUCUCACGCUAUCUGAAGAAAUCAUCAGAACUCAAAGAGACAACAUCAGAUAUAGUAGAGAUCUUCCAAUGAAUCUCCAGAAACAGAAGAUCUGAUUAUGGAGAGUGCAAAUAAGGAAGAGUCCAGUUAACUUCAAAAAUAAGUAGGAAAUGGAUUUCAAUUCGGAAGAGCGUUAACUCCAAAAAAUGAGCAUAUGAUAAGGAACUAUUUGUGUAAGUAGUAUUCAAGGAAGAGAAGGCUUUGACAAACAAGCACAUAAGAUAUGCACUAUUGUAAUUAUUCAAGAUUUAUAUCUGCCAUGAUUUUUCAUGCGUCCUUCUCUUCUUAUAUAAAGACUGCAAUCGAAUAUUCGUGCACAAUAUAGUACAAAGAUUUACUGAAGACAGUACAACGACAGCAAAAAUAUUGUUUAUUCUCUCAUAUCUUCCACGGAAAAGCUUUCUGCUUAGUACGUGAAUACUUUGUUUCUUUUUGUUGUAAUAUUUGCUUAUCUUAGAAGCACUCUAGAUUACAAGUAAGCUUUCAUCAUUGUUUAUUUUCCUCAAGUGACUCUGUGUAUCUGUAAUUGAGGAGGAACUAAGAGAUCUUUCCUUAGACGUUUGUUUGAAACAUCGUUCAAAUAUGGAUUAGUCCGUGUUGAAGCGAAAUCACCUUGGCCGGCGUGGACUGGAGUAGCUUUGUGUAUAAGCGAACCAGUAUAAUAAAAUCCUUGUGUGAUUGUCAUUUUGAAAAAGACGGCUAUUUUCAAAACAAUUCACCCAACCCUUUCUUGUUUUCUCACGUUCAAUUGGUAUCAGAGGCUCCGGUCUGUUAUUGAUUUUCUAAUCCAACCACUUAAACAGUGUAGAGAAUCCAGAAACGAGAAAAACUAUGUGCCCACCAAAUGAAGGAAGUUACAAUGCUAAGCCUCCUGUCUUUGAUGGAGAGAAAUUCGAUUACUGGAAAGAUAAGAAUGAAAGUUUCUUUCUAGGCAUUGAUGCUGACUGGACAGGUGUCACAGAUGGAACACUCCGUCACGGAGAGGAGCUGAAGUUCCAAAUAGAUGUCAACAUCAGAAGCGAUUUCAAAAUCAUACAACACAUAAUCUCAUAGCAUAUCUAGUAACGUUAGGUGGGAGACAUACCUUCCCCAGCCCAUCGACGGAACCUCGGAACAGAGACAAAGGCUCUGAGCUUAUCCAGAAAAUAUGAGCUUUCAAAAUGGAAGAUAGAAGCCCAUAGAGGCAUGUCUAUUCCAAAACUCUGAAUUGGGCAGGUCUCAAGUUCUAGACAAAGGAUAACAAUGCAACGCAGAUAGAUCAGCAGUCUGCCAAAACGAAAUGGAGCCCAUGGUUAUGCGUGAAGCCGAUCUUGGCUUACUCCCCAGGAAGUCAUUGAGAUAGAACUAGAGGAACGAUGAGCUCAAAAGAAACAAGUCCAUAGCAUUCAAAGUCCAGAUAUGAAAGGACGCAAAUACCUGACAGGAACCAAAGCUCUCCAGGAAAACUGAAGAUACUGAUGACUCUGAACUAUGAAGAUCUGAGAGAAUGAAAAUUGUCCCUUCCUAACCGAAGAGUUAAACAACUUCUGGAAAAAAGAUGAACAACAACUUCAGAAGAGGCAAGACCCAGAGGGGAUCCGUCAGAAUCAACUCUCAAAGGUAAAACUAACAAAGAUAUUACUUGCUAUGAAUGUAAGAAACAUCAUCUACAGAAUGAACCCCAAGCUAAGAAGACACUUCAGAAAAAAAGUUCCAAGAAAAAUACUUCAGGACAAAGAAAAGGAUUAAUCUACCUGUGGAUGCAAUAGUGAAUCUGAGUCAUUCAGAUCUGACUCUGAUGACAGGCCAACGGUGCACUAAUGGUACCAACAAUCCAGGAGCAGCUCAGAUGAAAGAAUCUAAGGGUAUUUCUUGAACUCCUCGAUCUGAUCUAGAAUCAUGCUUGUAGAAACUUCUAGCUCUAUAUCAGAAAUUAUAAACAUAAAGCUUAAAAACAUAAAAGGCUGUUUUAAAGCAAAAGUUUGAAGAAUGUGGCAAGUCUUGAGAUGUACAAUGUCUAUGACGAAAGAUACAAUUAAUCUUGAACAUUUAGAAAGAGAUUGGAGAUAAGAAAAAGCUUAGAAAGUAUGAAGAAGCGUUUCUCAAGCACCACAAACUUCAAAAAAUAAUUUUUGAAUACGAAAAUGCCUUUUCAAGAUUCUGAAAAAAUGGAAUAGAUAGGAGUAUUUUAUGGCACCAUGAUUAUCCUGAGUCAGUCAGCACGGCGAAAAUCAACCGAAUAUGCAUCAAGCAAGCAGAGGACUCGGAGAAUAAAAAGGGAAUGGUGUAUGAUCCCUAAGGAAUGUAAAACUUCUUCUAUGGACGCUAACUUAAACUCCAUUUUCAUAUCACAUACACACACACAAGCGACACAUAAAUUUGAAAAGUCAAGAAAACCCAAAGUUAGUAAGAAACUCUUGGAAGACUAAUCAAAUAAGGACCCAAGAGAUUCUGUGUACCGAAGGAUAAGAGUGUCUAGUGUUGCACGUAUUAAUCCUAUGCAGCAAAGUUCAGACACCACGUCAUGGGUACCAUGGACUCUGGAUGCUCGCAGUGACACCAUGACGGGAAUAGGAAGAAAGCUAGUGAUCAAAGUCUGGAACUUAAAGACGCUGGAUUUGUAGGCUUUGGAGAGAUCAGAAGGAAAGGAUCAGAGGCUCCGGAACUAUUGGUAAUGUACCUUCCCUCUAUAUCUGAGGUUCUUUACGUAAAGAUUAAUGGCAUAAUUAUUAUCCAUAAAGUCAAUUACAGUAUACAAUGGGUUAUAUUGUUAUCUUUAUCAAAACUUAAAACCUUUAAUCAGAACAAUGGCUCUGUCCGUCAACAUUCACAGGCAAGAGGAAAAACAACAUUAUAAAAUUAAUCUUCGAUUUAAAAGAACAAAAUGAAAUGCUGAUGACUGUCACGAAAAGCAGCAAUGGGUGUGGCAUAGACGCUUGGGGCCACGUACAUGAGGAACUCUCAGCUAAACAAACUUGAGUUAGUCAGAGGCCGUACCAUAAACUGAAGUUUCUUUCAGAUGCUCUGUAGUAAGCAUGUCAGAAAGGAAUUUCUAAAACACUUGUUAAAAAGAAAAAUGUUGUUUCGUACCGUCUAAGCUCCUGGAACUCAUCUCCACAUUGACUAUUGGUCCUGUGAAACGCAUCAGUCAAUGGAAAAGAAGUAGGACUAGUAUUGGAUGAUUACAGUCGCUGGACAUUGGGUGAAAUUCUAAAACACCAAGAGUGAGUCUCACUCUGUAUUCACUAGUUAGUCUGGCUCCAAAUGCAAAGAAGAAUUUGACUCUAAAAUUAAGAGUUAGAAAUGAUCAUGAUGGGAAUUUGAAAACAAAGAUUUGAAGAAUUAUUUGAUCUAAAUGAAAUAUCUCCAUGAAUUCUCCUGCCUAGAACUCCACAACAAAUGGAUUUAGAGAGAAGAAUAGGACUAGCAUCAAAGAAGAUUGCCAGAACCAUGGAAUAAAUGAAUCUAAUAUGGCAAACAGCAUGGCAGAAGAGAUGUAAAAAACAUCAUGUUACAUUCAGAGAUCAUCUAACAGACAAUCGGAAGACUCCCUAUAACCUCGCAGGAAAAACAACAUUUCAUAUUUCAUCCUUUUGGAUUCCUUGGCUUUAUCUAAACACUAAAGAUGUGUGUUGUCACGUCUAAAGGCUACAGAGUAUACAAAAGAAACACAUUGUGGAAGAAUCAAUUAGGUGUCAAUUUGAUAUAAGCUUGACCCUGAAAGAUAAGCUAAUGAAAGUUUGCAGAUUUUAGAAUCACUCUGCAGAAUUCGAACCCAGAAGACUGUCCCAAACUCUGAAGAAAUUAAAUCCCCAGAAAUCAAGAAAGUAAAGUGUCAAUGUAUCGAAGAUUGAUUCUGGGAAACAAAGCAGAACUUGUUAGACCCAAUUUACCUGAUACUACUGAUAGUGUCUCUUAAAGGUAAACCCCCCCCUACGCGAAUUUAGACGUUAUCAGGAGAUUGACAAUCCCCAGAUGAUUGCAUGAACAAGCAACUUGUUGAUGUAUACGCUUCGGGGUGUAAGCUCGACUGGUAGCUCAAAGGUAUGUCAACAGAAGGUAUGAUUAUAAUGAAACUUUUGCCCCAUCUCAAGUUAGAAAUCUAUUCGCUUCUGUUCUUUUGGCUAUAACACAUUCUAUUAAAUUAUAAAUCAAAUGGAUGUCAAGAUGCAUUCCUUAAUGGUUAUAUAUCAGAAGAAGUGUAUGUCAACGCAACUCCAGGUUGAAAUAGAGCAUGACAGUUAUUAUGGUGAAUGGUGUGAAAUGAUUGUGUGACACCCUUAAUUGCAUAAUUACUCUGAUUGAUAUAUUGCUAUUUUAAUUAAAUAUUUGGGGUAUUUUUAGAAGGGUGUUACAAGAUACAUAGAUAGAAGCAAAAUGGAUUCAAUGAUCUAUGUAGUUAGCAGAAAUGGAAGAAGAGGAAUUGGUUAUGUGCCUAAAGAACAACUUAUUUUAAAACCAAAAGAUAAACCAAAAGCUCUUUAUUCCCAUUUCUAUUAUGCACAUACAUAAAAUGAUUAUGUUGCACAAAGACCCAAGUUAUCUAAUAACUCUGGGAGUACUAACUAGAAAGGACCCAAAAUCAUGUAGGUACCUAAGGACAAGAUAAUAUAUGUUGUAGACAUCCUUAGCAAGACAAUUAAAACACCAAUUAUGACACCUGGACUCUGGGUGCUCACAAUACAUGACAAGAAGAAGCCAUAAGUUUCAAGAUUAGGAACUUAAGUUAGGUGGCUCCGUGGGUUUCAGAUGUGAUUAGAAAGGGAAAAUCAUUGGCUUUGGAACAGUCGGUAAUGGUUCUCUCCCUUUUAUUAAUAAUGUUUUAUUAGUUGAUGGAUUAAUGCAUAAUUUAUUAUCCAUAAGUCAAUUAAGUAACAAUGGUUAUGAUAUAAUCUUUAAUCAAAAGUCUUGUAAAACUUUUAGUCAGAAGGAUGGUGAAAACCACACCUUUUCUUUCUAGUUCUUUUGUUGGUUAAAGUAAAUUAAAAAUAUAGUAGGACGGUGAAAACCACACCUUUUCUUUCUAGUUCUUUUGUUGGUUAAAAUAAAUUAAAAAAUUUAAUGAAUUUUUUAUCCUAAGAUCCUCUAAUUUGAUGAUUUUUAAUUUUUAGUCAGUUUUAAGUUGGAAAACAUUGACUAGGAUACUUUGUAUCUCAAUCUUUAUGAUUGCAUUUCCUUAAUGACUAGGUUAGUCACAUUUCAAUCAUGAAAAAAUAAUUAGAGAUUCUAUUUAAUUAAAUUUUAACAAUUACAAAGAUCUAUGAGACCUUAUUUAAAUAUAAUUUAAUUGUGAAAGUUUUGAAGCUUCGCACAAUAACCCGGAUUGCAUACCUUCAAAGAUAAUCCUAAAUAUAGACAAACUUGAAAUAGCAAGAUAAUUGUAACAUAAACAAACUUGACAAUAUUAAUCUUAUUAUUCUCCUUUUGCAUGUAUCAAGAAGAAUAUAAUUUUAUUAUUUUAUAAUAUAUAUAAAAAGCUCAUGGUUUCCUUUUUCUUUUUCUUUGAAUGGGAGCUAAUGCUUAUGGAGUUUUAGUCCUUAUGGAGUUUUAAAAAUCAAUUCCUAAAAUAAAUCAUUUAUUAAAUGUAUCAUGAAUACAUUCAUUUGCUGAUUUUUGUCUCUUCAACGCACUUAGCUUGACACUUCCAUAAAAUACUUACUAAUCAUAAGAAUUCUUUCUUUUUUUUAACACACAUGUACACCUGCCCACACUACACCUCGGUUUAAUACACCUGCCCACACUACACCACGGUGUAGAAGGAAGUGGGCAAUAAUCUUUUGGACAAUCAGAAUUUUCAAAACAUUUAGGAGCAGCUGUAACGAAAAAAGAAAAUAAAAAAAUAUAAAUAUAAUGUCAUAAAAUAUUGGGUAGGAAGUAAAUAGGCAAUAAUCUUUUGGACAAUCAGAAUUUUCAAAACAUUUAGGAGCAGCUGUAACGAAAAAAGAAAAUAAAAAAAUAUAAAUAUAAUGUCAUAAAAUAUUGGGUAGGAAGUAAAUAAAGAAAUUUGAUCAAAAGGAUAGAAAAAAAUACUUACCAUCAGCGUUCAUUGCAACAAGAAGUAUGAAAAGAAAGAUAAACAUAACACAAACAAACUUGACAAUUUCACCCAUAUUUCACCCCUUUGUAUGUAUAAACUAGAAUAUGAUUUUAUCACUUUAUAAGCUAAAAAGUUUAGCCCUUAUAGAGUUGUAAGCUUUUAAAAAAAAAAGAUAUAUUAUAAUUAAAUGCUUCUUAAGUACAUCAAAGUGUUGUAUUUGUCCUUUCCACACACUUAAUAAAGAGAUCACAUAUAAGAAAUCACAUAUAAGAAAUUACUUUAUCAUAAGAAUGCAUUCAUUUUUAAUAUUAAACUUCCGUGACUUGAUAACUUUUCAUGAUUGAGAAAGGAAAAUUACAAAAGAUACCACAACAUAGAUAUUUUCAAACAAGUUUUCACAUUAUUUGGAUAUUAGCUGAGGUGAAAUCUAUUCUAAUAGGUGCUAGUUUUUUUAAUUAAAAGAACACCAUCUAUCUUCUCAGUUGGGAAAAUACAUAUUCUUUCUUCUGGUGUUGUCUAAUGGAUUUUGUGACUUCGCAAGAACUCUAUUUUAUUUAAGGGCAGAGUCUUAAGACUCUUAGUUAAUAUAAUUAUUGUAAUGUGUAUUAAGCGGUUAUUCUGAGAUUGAUACCAAAUUAAGCUCAAAUAUUCUAUAUCUCAUUCCACUAUAAAAAAUAAGCGUUUUAGCCUCAACUUUAUAGCGUCGGCCGCAACAUCGGCCGCAACAUUGACGCUAUUCGUGUAUGAUUUGUAUAACCUAUACGAACACUAAAGGAUAAUUAUUUUGUUUUAAAAAUUUUAAUAUAUUUUUUUAUUUAUUGAAAAUAUUUACGUCGGUGUGACCGACGCUAAUGGAAUUUUAUUAAAGCACCAAACUAUUUCAUUAUAUUAAUUUUAUUGAUUAGUUAGCUACUGAUAGACUGAGACUAACUAAUUUAAUAUUUUUUAUUUAUUUUUGUUUGACCGCGUAGACACGGUCGCUACGUAUUUUUCUUUCUUUAUUUAUUUGUUUAUUUUAUUUCCCUAUUUUUUUCAUUUAGCGCCAAUUCUUUUUAGCUUUAUUUAUUUAUCAUUUUAAUAUUUGUGUCGGUUUAACGGAUGCUAAAAGAUUUUGUUGACUUUCCUCAGUUGAUUAUAUAGUAGGUCAAGUCGACGCUACUUUGGUGCCAUUAACUUUUCCUUGGUUGACUAUAGAGUCAGUCAAGCAAACUCUACUGGAAAAUACUGACUUUUUGUGUAGAUUAUAGAGUCGGUAAGCCGAUUCUAAACAUAUUAAUUGACUUUUUCGUUGACUUUAGAGUCCGUGUAUGCAACGUUAAAUAUAGUUGACUUUUCUAUGUUGAUUUUAGGGUCAGACAAGUAGACGCUAGAGUUUUUUUACUUUUAUAAGUUGACCUUAAUGUCGGUUGGCCGACGCUAUUAUAAAAUGUUGAUUUUUGUUUGUUGACUUUAGAGUCGGCUAGGGCACUGCUAAACAUAAUUGUUGAUUGUUCAUGAUUUUGAAACAAUAUAGUGUCGAAUCAUUUAAUGGGCUAUUAUAAAAUGUUGAUUUUUGUUUGUUGACUUUAGAGUUGGCUAGGGCACUGCUAGGCAUAAUUGUUGAUUGUUCAUGAUUUUGAGACAAUAUAGUGUCGAAUCAUUUAAUGGGCUAUUAUAAAAUGUUGAUUUUUGUUUGUUGACUUUAGAGUUGGCUAGGGCACUGCUAAGCAUAAUUGUUGAUUGUUCAUGAUUUUGAAAUAAUAUAGUGUCGAAUCAUUUAAUGUCCUCUUAGUCUCGGUGCAUUUCUAGCAGAAGCUAUCCAGUAGCUUCGCAACUUUUAUCUAAGGCCCGACACCGACGUUAAACACACCAUUUUUCACCUUUAGCGUCUCCCACGGCCGACGCUAAUAACUAUUUUUUGUAUUUUAUCGUGUGAUGGAGGGGUAUCUUAUUAUCUACUAUUUUCAAAUUUCCUAUUUAUAAUAAAAACAUAGAUCUAGAAUUUAAAUAGAUUAAAUAUAAUAGCAACAAAAUCAGAAAUAACAUAGUGAUUGAUUUUUUAUUUAAAAUAAAAAAUAUUUUUUUUGGAAAAUAUUUGAAUUUGUGAUUUGGUCUUAUCUGGUUUUGAAAGAAGGCAUGUAAUGUUGAUUUGAGAGGAUUUGGAAAGUUUGAUUUUGGAAUGAUUAUGUUUGUGAUUUAAGAAUGAAAAAACAGUAUUUUAUUUUGGAAUGAUCACAGUUGGUCAAGUCGACGCUACUUUGGUGCCAUUAACUUUUCCUUGGUUGAUUAUAGAGUCGGUCAAGCCGACACUACUAGAAAAUAUUGACUUUUUUUUUUAGAUUAUAGAGUCGGUAAGCCGAUUCUAAACAUAUUAAUUGUCUUUUUUGUUGACUUUAGAGUCGGUGUAUGCAACGCUAAAUAUAAUUAUUGACUUUUCUAUGUUGAUUUUAGGGUCGUACAAGCUGACGCUAUAUCUUUUGACUUUUAUAAGUUGACCAUAACGUCGGCUGGCCGACGCUAUUAGAAAAUGUGGAUUUUUGUUUGUUUUCAAGCAACGCUAAGCAUAAUUGUUGUCUGUGCAUGAUUUUGAAACAAUAUAGCAUCGAAUAAUUUAGUGUCCUCUUAGCCUCGGUCCAUCUCUAGCCAAAGCUAUCCAGUAGUUUUGUAACUUUUAUCUAAGGCCCGACACCAACGCUAAACACAUAUUAGUGUCCAUUUUUUACCUUUAGCGUCUUCAAAUGGCCGACGCUAAUAACUAUUUUACUAGUGGUGUUCGUAGGAGAAUUUAGAAUCUAAUCCAUGAUCCUGUUUGUCCCCUAGUAGAAUGUUUUUUUUUCUUGCCCUAAUUUUUUUAUAAUUAGGAUUGAGUAACCUUUAUACUUAUUUAAUUCUAAUUCAAGUUGCUUAUUAGAAAAAUCAACAUUUGUUACUUAAGAAAUUGAAAUAUUAAGCAAAAUAAUUCUAAUAUAAACAAACUUGACAAUAUUAAUCUUAUUAUUUUCCUUUUGCAUGUAUGAAGAAGAAUAUAAUUUUAUUAUUUUUUAAUAUAUAAAAAGUCCAUGGUUUCCUUUUUCUUUUUCUUUUUUUGAAUGGGAGCUAAUGCUUUCCUAAUAUAAAUUAAAUAGGGUUUUAGUCCUUAUGGAGUUUUAAAAAUCAAUUCCUAAAAUAAAUCAUUUAUUAAAUGUGUCAUGAAUACAUUCAUUUGCUGAUUUUUGUCUCUUCAACGCACUUAGCUUGACACUUCCAUAAAAUACUUACUAAUCAUAAGAAUUCAUUUUUUUUUUAACACACAUGUACACCUGCCCUCACUACACCUCGGUUUAAUACACCUGCUGCGCACACUACACCACGGUUUAGAAGGAAGUGGGCAAUAAUCUUUUGGACAAUCAGAAUUUUCAAAACAUUUAGGAGCAGCUGUAACGAAAAAAGAAAAUAAAAAAAUAUAAAUAUAAUGUCAUAAAAUAUUGGGUAGGAAGUAAAUAGGCAAUAAUCUUUUGGACAAUCAGAAUUUUCAAAACAUUUAGGAGCAGCUGUAACGAAAAAAGAAAAUAAAAAAAUAUAAAUAUAAUGUCAUAAAAUAUUGGGUAGGAAGUAAAUAAAGAAAUUUGAAAAGGAUAGAAAAAAUACUUACCAUCAGCAUUCAUUGCAACAACAAGUUUGAAAAGAAAGAUAAACAUAACACAAACAAACUUGACAAUUUGACCCAUAUUUCACCCCUUUGUAUGUAUAAACUAGAAUAUGAUUUUAUCACUUUAUAAGCUAAAAAGUUU
rnacentral:lncRNA from 1 species